rnacentral:rRNA from 1 species
UCGAAACCUGCCAAGCAGAGCGACCCGUGAACAUGUGUAUCCUCAUGGGUGUGGGGGUGUUGCUAGGUGCCUUGUGCGCUUGCACGCCCGUGCCCCAAGUCGAGGAGCCCCUCCUCACAAAACAACGACCCCCGACGCGUAACGCUUCAAGGAGUAAGAACUUAAUGUGUGUGCCCUCUGGCUGCCCGGUCAACCGGCUCUGGUGCGGUGCCAUGUCUUAACAAUA